GAGACCCACGCCAACAGUUGCCAGCAUGUCCUCCGGGAUGGUGGGGACACUGUUGGGACCGCCUCUGCUAAAGAGGAGGAAGGAAUGGGCAACGGUAGGUCAGCAUGCCCCGAAUUAUCCGGGCUACACGCGGGCUACAAUGGUCAGGACAAUGGGUAUCGACACCGAGAGGUGAAGGCAAUCUCUUAAACCUGUCCUUAGUUCGGAUUGUGGGCUGCAACUCGCCCAUAUGAAGCUGGAAUCCGUAGUAAUCGCGUCUCAAAAUGGCGCGGUGAAUAU
rnacentral:rRNA from 1 species